CUGCACCCCUCUCCCACUCCCCCAACUGUCACCACCCCACCCCCACACCACCUCACUACUAUAUCUCUGGACCGCCACUUACCCACACCUCUCACCACUGUGCCCCCGCACUGGCCCCCAACUCCCCCAUCCACUGACUUCCCAACACCCUGUUCUCACAAACCUUCAUCCAAAUGCAGUUUGGGAACUCCAGGGUGCUAAGAACCUAUGCAGCUUGCCCUGAUAUACUUCACCCUGCCCCCCAGCUCCCCUAAACCCCCACUCCCCCAAAUCCCGACACCCACCCCCACACGUCCCCCCAUACACCCAAUAUCCGACCUGCCACAUCCCCCCUUUCUCCCCCCACUGCCCCACAUCUCUGUAUCCCCCCACCACACCACAUCCACUAAGGACCUGCGGAGGCAGAGCCCUGGGCCUUGUGAGCCGCAGCAGGUGGGAGAAGGCGGGGUUUAAGGGAUGCCCAGAGGGAGGCGCGAGGAACCCCCUCCCCCGGAAUCCUUGUGCGUUCCUCCCGGCAGCCUCCAGGGGGCGCUCCGACCCAGCUUCCGGAUGUGAUGUCAUUAGUCUUCCGACUGGGAGGCCUGAGGGACGGGACGGCAUCGGUGUCACGGGACGGAUUCAGGUCACGUACAAGGACUCCAGGUAGAACCGCACGGGAGGCCUGAGGGCCCCCGCCCAAGAACUCAGGGGGCCCGUGGUGUUGCCCUAAGGAGGCCCCGGGAGGGUCCUCAGGCUGGGCACUGCCACGGCAUGCCACACCCAUGUCCCCUCCCGCCAUUUUGAAUCGUGAGCGUGAAGGCCUUGGUCUGAGGAGGGAACCCAGGUGGGCUGAGGGCGGGGGCACAGACGCACCAGGGGUCAACGGGAGGCCAGGAGGGAGGGCCGAGGGCGCCCCUGGAGCCCACCUCAGGCCCUGCCUUCUAUCGCCCUGGGAACUCCUGGGCCUAGUGACCUGUUGGGACGGCCGCAGACGUCACCCAGGAGUGUCUCAGGGCAGGGAGGGCCUUGGUCUGAGGGGACGGGCCCCCAUCAACAUUCACAGGAUCACAGGCCGUGCCCGUGUUGUGGUGAGGACCCUGAGGGAGGAGGGGAAGGGGCCCCAGAGGAGCCGCCCCUGCCUGUCAGCCAUGGGAGGCCCCUGGGUGGAGUGAUUACACGCGGUGUGCCCUGACUUCCUCCUCCGGGCCUCAGAGGGACUGGGACUGGCUUUAAGGAGCAGGCCCUCGGGUCAUCGGACAGGAGGGCCCAGGCCCUGCUGGGAAGUCAUGAUGAGGAGGCCGCGGCAGGACUGAGGGAUCCUGGGCCCCCGAAAAGAGCCUGCCUGGGAAGCUCCAGGGUGCUCAGAACCUAUGCAGGUGGCCCUGACUUCCUCAUCCGGGUAUCACGGGACUGGGGACUUGCAUAAGGAGCAGGUCCUGGGGUCGGCAGAGGGGAGGACCGGAUCCAAAUGAGAGGCAAGGUGAGGACCCUGAGGCACACCUAAGGACCAUAGACCCCAAACAGGUAGGACGGCAGGGCCCCUGGGCGGGGUGUUGGAAGGCCCCAGAGCACUAUAGGCACAUGAGGUGUUCCCUGUCCCCUGCCGCGGGGACUUUACAGAGGUGAGGGCCGUGGUGUGAGGAGUGUGGCUUCAGGUGGACAGAGGGGUGCCCAGCAACGUGGGGAGGACUGAACAGACCUUGUCUAGGAAACGGGGGACCCCAAGCGUAUCUGCCCCUGAGGUCCAUCCUGGGAGGCCAGGCCAGGUGUCAGGAGGAGUGAUGGCGUCCACACUUGCUCCUGACGGGUGUCAGCAGGAAGGUGGCCUUGGCCUGCAGGAUGCGUCCUCACGUUAGCAGAAGGGAUCUUUGCAGGCCCUGCCAGGGGUAAAUAGGAAACCCUUGAAGACGCUGAGGGGACUCCCACUCCAGCCAGAGGGGUUGGACCGUGAAAUCGGCCCUGCCGGCAUGAUCCCUGAAGACCCGGGACAGGGGUGGCCUAAAGGGGUGCGCUGGCACCUCUGUCUCUGCCUCUGAGGGAGGUGGGCCCUGUUCUGAGGGGCGACGUGAGGGGGCAGAGGGAGCUGAGCCAGGUCCCGCCAGAGAGGAGUCCCGGCAUCUGCCGGGACUCAGGAAGAGUAGCCUUGGCAGGAGGGAGGGCAUGAAGGUUGGCUCCCCGGAAAGGAGGAGGGACUGUGCAGAGACCGGGCAGGGCUGGCUGUCUGAGGCAGGCUCCCCCUUCCGCCGCAUGGGCGGGGACGGUGAGUACCCUGGUGGUCUGGGAUCCGUCAUGUCAGCAGAGGGAGGAGUCCCAGGCUGUGCCGCGUGUCAGUGUGAGGACAUUCCUGAGGACCGGCCAUACCCCCAUCCCCAACUCAGAAAGGAAAGGACUCCGGAGAGUCCAGCUGUCCUCUUUCCUCAGCCCUGGAAUGAAUAGGAGCGGAGGGCCUGUAAGUGACGCCUGGACCCAGGCCAGCUGAGACAGCACCCCAGGCCCCGACAGGCUUCUCCAUGCCAGGAGCAUCGCCAGCCUGGGCCGGGCCUGGGUACGCGUGGUCCCCACACUUCCUUCUGAUGCUUUCUGGGUGUGGGUGCCCAGUUCCAAGAGCUUUGCUCACGCCAGCGUCCCUGGGAGGUGCGCACCCUGAGCGAGCCUGGAGGGGGCAACCCUCCCUGGCCAGGCAGAGACCUCACAGAGGCAGGCCCACCCCUCCUGUCAACACGGGGCGCCCUGGGCUGGGCUGGCGGACCUCACCCUGAGAUGCCUGCUCGUGUCCUCUGGCAGGGACUCCAGGAAUCGGCAACUGAAGUCCUGAGGCACCUGUCCUGAGGUCACAGAGCCAUGGAGGACCAGGCUGAGCCAGGAGACAAGGUUGCCAUUCCCCUGAGCAGCGUCAGCAUGCCUCUGGGUGCGUGGAGCGUGCAGUGCCCGUUGGAGGAGGCCCAGCAGGAGGCGAGCGAAGACCAAGGCCUGGAGGGGGCCCAGCCCUCGCCUCAGGAUGGGCCAGCCAC